CAGAAAUUAUUGAUCUGCCAGAUACGUGGCAAGCAGCAGAAACUAGUCGGGCGAACGCCGUUCCCUGUGGCGCGCGUCUCCCCUUCUACUUUGACAUAGCUGUCUCUCUCCCUCCUGUACACACUUACUCACGCACACAGGUCGCGGGCGGGGCUAUUUUAGCUCCCUACCACCUCUACUGAGCAACACCGAGGCGUCCCCGGUUCCCGGAUCCCGCGAAAGGAAGGGAAGAUUCACACAAUUUUACCAUCCUCUUCGAUUGGCAAAAACGAAACUCCAAUUGUGACACAUAAUAUAUCUAUUUCAUCCGUCGUUUGAAUUUGGAAUUAUUCUAGUUUGAAUUUUCAGUUACAGUUCCGUCAAUUAUUCCACCUACGAUUGAUCCAACCUCAUGAAUGCAGCCUGACGAGAGAAUGAAUCAGAAUAUCAUUUACAUGACAAUAAAGAAUGAACGAAUGAAAUUUUACCCACCUCAGGUACCGUACAUCGUCUUAUGUAUUUCGAUAAUUUUCCAUUACUACUUUCUACAACGAUUAAAAUGGGACAAAGGAUUGCAUAACGUGCGGCAAAAUGGCCGUAUUAUUCUAACCUCAACAGUAAACUCAACCGUCAAAUAAAACGUCUCGAUGAUCGAGUUAUUCAUUUUUACAUAAUCAAAGAAUUAUACAAUUCUGGUAAGUUUAUAAAUAUUAUUUCUACGAGUGCAGAAAUAAAUAUUAAAGCUUCAGGUAUUUCAACAAAUAUUCCUUGUACAGUGAAAGCAUGUAUGGUAUACAUGGUAUACAAAUUUAUUUGGAAAACAUUGAAUCUAUUUGUAAGAGACAAUGAUUGGAAGAAUUUAUCCAAAAAUGUCUUAGAUCGUUAGAUAUAUUGUGAACAUAUUAAAAAUGCUUUGUAAGUUUUUCCCCUAUGUAAUAUAUACUAUAUUUCUUGUUCAUGUCCAUGCAGGUAUCGAUACUAAGGUCACGUCCCAACUUCCUGAUAUCCCAAUAUUAAACCAAAAAGGAAUCCAAUAACGAUACUCGAUUCUACGGAACUUUUGGGAGCUUUACAAUGUUUUUGCGUUGCGAUGCCUUAGGGACUGCAUCGCACAUCUACCUACCAUCGUCGGCGCAGGCGAGAGCGAGGGGUAAAUUUUGUCAUCUAGAAUCCAGAUCCCGAGACGCCUACGCUUCGAAACUCGAUAUCUUUUAAUACGGACUUCUUAAAUGGAAAAUACAAUUGCAUAGAGAAUUAUAUAUAUAUGGACCGAGGAUAUAUAAUUACAUGAUAUAGAGAGAAACAGACGCAUAUACGCUGCUAAAUACAUACCCCGCUAUAGGCUAUUUUACAUUUAGCAAAGAGGUAACAGACUGAAUCAAACUCGCUUGGCUAGGUGCGCUUCUUUUGUGUCGUCCUUACAAGUUUUUCGAUGAACGGAUGGAACCGACCAUUCUGUUGGUAAAAAUGAGAAUGGAACUCGGAAACGUUAUCCGAUCGAUGGAGCGAGGAUGGAUAGAUGGAUAAAACGUUAGUAGAAGGGGGAUUGCUUUUUUUAUUUUUUGCUUUCUGUUUGUGAUUUUUUUUUCUUUUUUUCUUGUAAUACGUAACGCUGUAUAAUUGAUACUCUAUUCGUUUCAUAUUUUUUUUUUGUUUUCUUUAACCGACGUUACAUUUAUUUUUAGCAAUGUUGAGAGAAGUGAUGACGGAAUUAACUGUAAAAUUGAUACUACAGAGUAUUAAAAUCCCACGUUUUAUCGUAGAUUGAUUAGCACCGGCUGCAGUACAAGAUAAAACUUUUAUUUUUCCUUGAAAAUCGAGAAACGAAAAGUCAAGCAAAAGAAGAAUAAUAAAUAAACCGAAGUCGCAAAAACGCUUCGUACAGUUGUGGGGGGAUUUGCAAUUCUACUAACGAAUUCGAUCGACAGUCUGUUGGAUAGCGUUGGAGACGAGUCAUCGCUAAAAAUACGGAUUUUCAAGACCCCAGUUUGCGACCCAGAGAAAACUUUUUCUCCUUCAAAUUUGAAGGGCCCCUUGAAUCGGAGAUCGCAGUAACCAAGAAAUUACAGUAUGAGUAACAGAAAAAGAA